rnacentral:tRNA from 1 species
GCCCYGAUAGUAUAARCAUUACACUGGUCUUGUAAACCAGUAAUGAAAAAAAAAUUUUUCUCAGGGCA